CAGCGCCACAAGUGGCAAUCGCAAUUAUUGGGCCUAAAGCAUCCGUAGCCGGCGCUGUAAGUUUUCGGUUAAAUCUGUACGCUCAACGUACAGGCUGCCGGGAAUACUGCAGCGCUAGGGAGUGGGAGAGGUAGACGGUACUCGGUAGGAAGGGGUAAAAUCCUUUGAUCUAUUGAUGACCACCUGUGGCGAAGGCGGUCUACCAGAACACGUCCGACGGUGAGGGAUGAAAGCUGGGGGAGCAAACCGGAUUAGAUACCCGAGUAGUCC
rnacentral:rRNA from 1 species